rnacentral:misc_RNA from 1 species
GAUCCCGUUCACCUCCACCAAUAUAUGUGUGAUCCUGUAAAGAGUGUGAGUAUAGAUAAGAUAUUUGAAACGUAGGAUGAUCGGAAGAUUGGACUGCGUUAGAUGGAUGCCAGAGUAAAGACGAAUACAAUAAACAAUCCUAGUUUAACAUUAUAGUGUUAAGUUAGGCUGACGAAAGUUAGGCUAAUAAAACACAAACGCGAAAACUAAAUUCAAUUUAACAGAAGCUCUUAAGAGUAAUUCUUGGGAGCGUCGAGUCCAAACUUGUUUUAGGGAUGUUGAGUUAGAACUAGGCGAGUUCAAGAGAGGCGACGCAAUGUAUGAAUAAUACAUGAGGAGCCAAACGAAGAACUCAACGACGUAAAUAACUCAAGAGACCAAAACAAGGAUAUCAAGCGUNCAAAAGGGCAUCUGGUGGAUGCCUAGGCACAAAGAGGCGAUGAAGGACGUGCUAA